UACAGAGGUCUCAAGCGUUGUUCGGAUUCAUUGGGCGUAAAGGGUGUGUAGGUGGCGCGCUAAGUCGGGGUGUGAAAAUUUCGGAGCUUAACUCCGAAACUGCAUUCGAUACUGGCGUGCUUGAGGACUGGAGAGGAGACUGGAAUUCAUGGUGUAGCAGUGAAAUGCGUAGAGAUCAUGAGGAAGACCAGUGGCGAAGGCGGGUCUCUGGACAGUUCCUGACACUGAGACACGAAGGCCAGGGGAGCAAACGGG
rnacentral:rRNA from 1 species